rnacentral:lncRNA from 1 species
AUUUAUCAAGAAGGAGCAGUCAUGAAUACAAAAGCUUUCACCGAAAUCAAUAACGAAGAAAAGAAAACUCAAAAAAAUAACUCUAGAUCCUGAGAUAAAUAAGAAUUUACCUCACUUUGGCUCUGAUACCAACUGACGCGGAACCCUAUGGCACAAGCCUCAAACCCACACGCACAAGUAGAUAUGGAAUCCAAAGAUUUGAUAAAUCCACCUCCUAUGGCACCCCACACUUAGAGAAGCUGAAACACCAAUGAUCGAAGGAUUUAAAUGAGAAUCUGACAAACGCCACAACGAAUAGUUGAUAAGUUAGCCAAGAUUCCUGGUGCAAUUGAUGAAAGCAAAUCCUCACUCUCACUCAAAGCAAUACACGCC